rnacentral:rRNA from 1 species
UCUGGGAAACUGCCUGAUGGAGGGGGAUAACUACUGGAAACGGUAGCUAAUACCGCAUGACCUCGAAAGAGCAAAGUGGGGGAUCUUCGGACCUCACGCCAUCGGAUGUGCCCAGAUGGGAUUAGCUAGUAGGUGAGGUAAUGGCUCACCUAGGCGACGAUCCCUAGCUGGUCUGAGAGGAUGACCAGCCACACUGGAACUGAGACACGGUCCAGACUCCUACGGGAGGCAGCAGUGGGGAAUAUUGCACAAUGGGCGCAAGCCUGAUGCAGCCAUGCCGCGUGUGUGAAGAAGGCCUUAGGGUUGUAAAGCACUUUCAGCGAGGAGGAAGGCAUCACACUUAAUACGUGUGGUGAUUGACGUUACUCGCAGAAGAAGCACCGGCUAACUCCGUGCCAGCAGCCGCGGUAAUACGGAGGGUGCAAGCGUUAAUCGGAAUUACUGGGCGUAAAGCGCACGCAGGCGGUUUGUUAAGUCAGAUGUGAAAUCCCCGCGCUUAACGUGGGAACUGCAUUUGAAACUGGCAAGCUAGAGUCUUGUAGAGGGGGGUAGAAUUCCAGGUGUAGCGGUGAAAUGCGUAGAGAUCUGGAGGAAUACCGGGGGGAGCAAACAGGAUUA